ACCGCAACCUGUUUUAUCAGCAAUGUCUUUAUAACCUGUAUUUUGUGCUGACCUUCUAUCUCAUCCUGUGACUUAGAAUGCCUUAACAACUGUCUGGAAUGCAGCCCGAUCUGUGGAGUGGCUGCAGCACCUGUGUUUCAGCCUGAAGAAUGGGCACAGAUAUUUCAUGAUUCUGAAGAAGAAUUGGAGGUGAGACUUGAGAAAAUGGAGAAAAAGAUAUGCUUUGGAUUUUCUUGAAGAUUAGAAGCUUUCUUAACCAUCCACCACCUUGUUGAUUGGUUAUUAUUCUCUCUACCUUCUGUGAAACAAACUGAUGGAUACUAAUGGCACAAUUACACUUAUAGCUAGUCAGUUGCAUAGUUUAUGCACAUAGUUCUGCUUCCAGUGUUUAGUAAUGAGUUAAACAUUUUGGCUAUAUUUGUCUCUGAAGCUAUAAUUUAAUUAAUCAUUAUGUAUAGCAAUAAUAACAAGUAAAACAAAAAGAAGAGUUUUUGUUUUUAUGGUAAUUAUGUUGGGUGCUUUGGAUCCUCCCAAUAAAGUUGACUUCCCUAAAAUAAUUACACUUGAAUUAGGUAUAGAGAAGUUAAUUGUAACAAAUUGAAAGUUACUGUAAAUCUUCUAAUCGUAGUUCUCUGCAAGUGUACUUAAGUUAUUGCUCCACUUGAAAUAAAUGAAAACUGGAAAUCUGAGGUGAUGAAUUAUGGGUCCCUUUUAUGUAAGAAAGAUGACAAGGAAAUCUAAUCUGCUGAGUUAUACUAAAAUAAAAUACCUUGGCCUGGGAUCAAAUAUAGGUGAAAGAAUGAACAUUUAUGUUUUUUAAUUAAGAUAAAAUGUACAAGUUUUAUGUACAUAUUUUAUGAUUUCCUGAUAUAACAAAAAGUAUUGAUAAAAGCACCCAAUACUGAUUCUAAUGACAUUUGAUUAGCAUUAGAGUUGCUAUUAUUA
rnacentral:lncRNA from 1 species